GCCCGCGUGCCGAAGGUGAUCGGGGGUUCGCUCGCGACGCAUCGCGAGCAGGUGCGCGAGCGCGUGUUCGGUGCGCUGCGCGAGCA
rnacentral:tRNA from 2 species